UUUUGCUCUUUUCAGGUUUCCUAGACUUUCCAUCACCACCAGUGAAUUCUGAGUGACAAUAGUGUGGAAUUUGGAAGAAUGGAAGAGAAACUGAAGUGGAGAGAUGGUGAAAGAGAAGAAAAAAUGAAGAAAGAUGCUUGCAAAAAUACUGCUGUGGGUCCUGAGAUGAGGAUUCUGGGAGGGCUGAAAUGGAUGCCCCUGACAGCUCCCUUUGAGUUCCUGUUCAUCUGAAGUACAGCAGCCUUCUAGAUAUGCUGUCACUUUCCUUCUGCAGAGCCACAGUGGUGUCCUGUCUUCUCAGACCUCUUCUCACCUCAAAUCACUUAGGACACGGCCACCAGACAGAUGAUAUGAAGUGAAAACAUGUGUCACUUGGCUCAGCCGGAACUGCUGUGUGAUAGGAUGUCCCUGUAUCAACCAUGAACCAGAAGUGGAACAGGGACCUAAUUAAUAUUUAUGCUGACCUUGGUGGCUGUUGUAAAAUAAACUACCAUACAUCUAAAACCUCACCACACUGGGUUGGAUAGCUAAAACUUCUAUACUAUUCAUGGCUUAACUUCUGAGAUUUAUAUGCCUCUUGAAGAGAAAGUACUCAUCACUGCUGAAAGUUUAACUUUCUAUUUUUGUUAUGGCCUCCAUUACAUUUCCAAAUAUUCCUUUACUUAAUUUUAUCCAUAAACCUGAAGCCUUCA